GGUAUGGGAUGAGCUUGCGUCCGAUUAGCUAGUUGGCGGGGCAACGGCCCACCAAGGUGACGAUCGGUAGCCGGCCUGAGAGGGUGAUCGGCCACAUUGGGACUGAGAUACGGCCCAGACUCCUACGGGAGGCAGCAGUAGGGAAUAUUGCACAAUGGGGGGAAACCCUGAUGCAGCAACGCCACGUGUGGGAAGAAGCAUUUCGGUGUGUAAACCACUGUCGUGAGGGAAUAAGGCGUUUUUUCGGAGAUGUUGAAUGUACCUCGAGAGGAAGCACCGGCAAACUUCGUGCCAGCAGCCGCGGUAAUACGAGGGGUGCAAGCGUUGUUCGGAAUCACUGGGCGUAAAGGGAGCGCAGGCGGAAGCUCAAGCGGAUUGUACAAUACCGGGGCCCAACCCCGGACCUGCAGUCCGAACUGGGUUUCUUGGAUAGUUCAGGGGCAGGC
rnacentral:rRNA from 1 species